GGGAAAAAAAUGAUGAAAGGAAAACACUAAUGAAUCUCUACUAUAAUCUGUCACUAAUAUAAUUGCUUCUUCACAAGGAAUUGUUCAAUCGAGAAGUAACAUGGAAAAAUGCAUCCUCAUUGCAAGGUAUUGUGAGACCGCCCAUUGAAUGUUGAAAUCCAAAUUCUUCCUCAGCUUUCUGAAGCAAUUCCUGGAACGAACUGUGAUUCAGGUAUGCAAUUGGAACUACGUAUCGUUUCUUCUCUGUUUCUCCGACGUAAACUGCUAAAUGUCCUUUUGGUACAUCUGAUAUUUGAUUCCGAGUAACAACAGAGUGUAGUUUGUGAAAUUGCUUCAAACUGGGAAUAAUUGACGGUAAACGAAUAAUACCCAUCACUAGAUCUUUGAUUUUGAAGAUAAGUUUUGGUAUUUGAUGGAUUGGAACUUGUUGAGAGGAAUAAUUUUAUGCACUGAAGGUGUUUGAUGAUUUGACUGACUUGUUCUAGUCUAUAUUUAUAGUGGCUGCUUGCAAAUUGCAAUAUGUUGCGUGCCACGGCAGGUCAAUUGGUUCCAUGUGAGAGAGGCCCUACUUCACAUGCUUCGUAUUCUUACUUGAUAUAAGUAGGUAGUGCGGUAUGGGUUGUAAUAGUUCCAAUGCGUGUUGCAUCGUAAAUAGGUGUUCUUAUAAUGGAAAAAUAUACGUAUAAGAUUUUAAUGUACGGAGCGCGUGCAAGGUUCUGGAAGUUGCGCAAAGACUAGAGUAAAGAGCUAAGACUGUAGUACACACUAACUAAUAGAGGUGCCAAAAUGAGCGGACUUUUGUCAAAUGAGUUAGAUCAAUUAAUGAGUUAAAUAAAGGUUAUAAUUCAACAUGAACUAACCUUUUGUAUAGUGAUAGCAAAUGUAAUUUUUAUAAAAAUACUAGUUUUAAUUUCGUAUAUUUGGAUUGCACCUUGACUGAUCACGUUGUACUAUUUUGAGUCUUUUGACACCUUAAUUUGAUAAGUUAUUUCGAAUAUUCUGUUGAGAUAAAUAGGUCAUUACUCAACGCGUUUAAACUUAGAUAGAUUGAGCGGAUUAUAUUUUGACACCUCUUAAGUUUUGGCCAAACUAAUUAGUUAGGACUUUGAACUAAUUAGUUGCCAAUUUUAGGGAGAACAAUGGUCCUUUUGGAACAUGAAUACAAUUACUUGAAGAGUUUGUUCUACUCUACCAUCCACUCGUUUUUAUCUAUUCCUGAAUUUUGGUGAUGACGGAUGGCCAUAAGAAGGUUAUAUCUAUACCACUAUUCUCCCAUUGUUUCCACUUUAGACAUGUAUAUGUUUAUCCAUAUAUAUAUUAUUGUUUGUGCCAAAAAUAAAAAUAGUAUCACAACAUGGGCACUUUGGCCAUGCUGCCUUCUUGUGAUCUUGUGGUUGGUGAUUGGUGAAUUAAGUUAAGAGUCCUUAGAAGUACGUGUCUAAACAUAAUAUUUGGUGCAAAUUCCAACCUCUAAAUUCAUUGGCUUACAAGCUUUUUUUACAUGGAAGUAACUGCCCACAUUCAUGUGAUUUGGUAAUGCUUAAGCCAUUAUUUCCACUUGUGCUAAUUAUUAUCGGUGUUGAAUUCUCUAAUUAGUUUUCCAACUAGUGGCAAAUGGCAACUUGAAUGAAAAUAGUAGUAUUUCUAUGAGCAGUAACUUUACUCCGUUAUUUAAAUGAUAAAAUGUAUAAGUACUUAAAUUUUUACUCCGUAGGAUACGUGAAAAUAUAUAUUUUGAGUGUGAGACUCGAACUCAAAAUUUCUAUAUGCUUUUAUAUCAUAUUGAAUGGUCUAAUAACUUAUAAGUAUAUAUUAGGUUCUGAACAAGAAAGGAAAUAUCUUGACCACUACUUCAAUAUAGAAGUGCUUUGACAUCUUCUAUACUAAAUUUGUGACCCAAAUCUAGACAAUUGAACAAGCUCACUAUACUGAACUUUUGAACUUUAAUCUUUUGUGCAAAACUAAUUUCUGUCCACAAUUUAUGCUUGAUGGUCAACAAAAACAUUUGCCUAGUGAAUUUUCCGAAACAAGGAUAUAUUUUCUUUUAAAAAUUAAGUGGGGUCAAAAAAAUCAAGGCCACCUCUUUUAGGGUGAUUUGUGAACUAAACCCCAAAUUGGUUAGUAUAUUUAUUGUUCUUUAUGCUAAGUGUUUCUUCAUUUUUUGUUUUUUUUUUGGUUUCACAAACGGUGUUUGAAGCCCGUAUUGGAGUUUUGUGUAAAUCUGGAUCGUGCACUGUAGCUUCAACAUGAUUUUCUCCAUAUCCAGGCUGAAAAUCUCAUCACUACAUCACAAUCCAUGUUGGUACCAAGUAUUCCUUCUUGAUAAUGAAACAGAAUGGUUGCUAACUAGUUUAAGUUGACCUCACAGGCUGUUCUAAGAUUUCAAUUUAUUGAGGUUUAAGGUUUGAGGACAAUGAAGAAUGUUAAAAAAAUUGAUUGUAUAUUUUGCUUUCCAAUCCUCUGAACAAUAUUAACCAGAGGAAACUUUGAAGAUAUAAAAUUUACAGCUCUUGCGUGACAAGAGGAAAAAAAUAAUCAAAAUAAAAGAAAGAACACUUGUUCAUAUCAUAAACAAGUGUUCAAUCGAGAAGUGACAUGAAAAAAUGCAUCCUCAUUGCAAGGUAUUGUGAGACCCCCCAUUGAAUGUUGAAACCCAAAUUCUUCCUCUGCUUUCUGAAGCAAUUCCUGGAACGAAAUUUGAUUCAAGUAUGCAAUUGGAACCACGUAUCGCUUCUUGUUGUCUGUUUCUCCUACGUAAACCGCAAAAUGUCCUUUUGGUACAUUAUUUGAAAUUUGAUUCCUCAUAAGAACAGAGUGUAGUUUGUGGAAUUGCUUCACACUUGAAAUAAUGGAUGGCAAACGAAUAAUACCCAUAACUAGAUAGUGUUAUGACUGAAAACUGCUACUUGUUGUGAAGAAUAAUCCACUUUAAGGUGUUAGAUAAUUUGACUGACUUGUUCUGAAGUUUGUAAAUUUAAGGUUAAUAUUUAUAGUGAUCUGCUUGCAGGUCAGUUGUCCUUGUGGACUAUAUAAUUGAUGGCAUGUGAAAAAGGGCCUACUUCACAUGGUGAGUACAUUCCCAAUUCCCAAUUGAUCAGCAAUAUAGUAUUCUUUCCAAGUAUAGCAUAGUGAUGAGGGUGUCCAUAAAGUGGUAAUGUAUUUACCACUAUUCUCCCAUUGUUUCCACUUUGGACAAUACAAUAUACAUUAUCUCCCCCCCACCAAAUUGCAACUCCCAUGCUGCCUUAUUGUUGUUGAGGUUCUCCACGAAAGUGCAAGUCCUUACAAGUACAAGUAGUUUCUGAAGUCACUACGUAUAUAUUUCUAUAUUCCAUAGUUAUGAAGUCAUUAUUUAUCUCUGCUUUAUAUCAUUUCAAAAUGUGUGAUCUAUCUUUCAACAAAUUUGAAUUGAUAAACAACAUAUUUUUUAAACUCAAAAUGAGUACUAUCACGUUGAGCUUCAUACUCCCUGGUCAGUGGUGUAAGCAAUUUUUUUUUAAGCAGUGUCAUCAUUUAAAGGACAUCGAGGAGAAUCAAUAAAACUUUUGCUUUAAGCCUCCAAAAAUUUGAGGCCUCAUAAAUAUGGAUAAUAUUUUUGAAUAGGUAAUCUCUCCGUUGAUUUUGUGAAAGAGAAGACCUACAUAAAUCUUAUUAAUGUGACUUACAACAAAAGGAAAUGAAAAGGACGAAAAGAUAAUUUCUAAAUGUGAACAAAAACAAAUUUUCGUAUUAUUAAGUUUGAACAAACCACCAAAUGAUUUAAUUUAUUAAGUAACGAUUAAACAAUUAAUAAAAUAAAUUGCUUAAAUUGACCAAUAUCCACUACCUGUCUGUAUAUUCUUUUUGUACAUAAUAUAAUUCUCCGCGUAAAUUGGAUUUUAAAUUUAUAAACACACAUUAAUUAUAUUCGGCAUCGAGUUACUACGAAGAAGUUGCCAAAAGGAAAAGAAAUUAUUAGGCACAUUUAUGAUAAGCCAUUAUUGUGUGUGUCUGCAGAUUGACGAUGGCUCAUAAAUUUGUUAGACUUUUUCCGCGUUUUAAAAGAUGCUUAGAUGGAUUUUGUGGGAAAUAAAAUGAGGAAUGCGAAAAUAAAAUAGUUUAGACAUGUGAACGAAAGGUGCAUUGAUGCACCAAUUAAGAGGUUUAUAUGAGAGGUUAAAAAAACAGGGCCAGAGGGAGUAUUAACUUAUACUCUUCCGUCAACUUUUAAUUGUCAUAGUUUCCUUUUUUAGAGUCAAACGAUAAUAAUCCUGACUAAUAUUUUAUGAUGUAAUCUUUCAUCAAAUUAUAGUACUUUUCGUAUAGUUUUUGAAUAUUUAAAUUUUUUGUUUAAAAUAUCGAAUAAAUUUAAUUUAAUUUAACUUUAAAAAUUAAUUAAACUGACUUUCGAAAAGAUAACAUGACAAUUAAAAAUGAAAUGAGGGAGUACUUAAUGAUACUUUCUCUGUUUUAUGAUAAGAGGUUUUUAGCUUGAACACAUUUCUUAAGAAAAUUACUUAUUUUAAAAAAAAUGAAAAGUCCUCCUUUCAUUUUAUAUUACUUGUCCACAUUACUAAGAUAUGUAUCCCAAAUUACUUGUUAAUUUACAAAACAAAGAUAUAGUUUUUUUUUUCAUUUUACCUUUAAAAUUAAUUCUUUGAAAGUAUAAUUAAAUAUUGUAAAUUUCCAAGAAGGCUCAUCUACCAUUAAUAUUUGUAGUGGUGUAUAAGGCACAACCUAGAGUGCAGUGCUAAAAAAGUUUAAAGGGUAAAUUAAUAAAAAUAUUCUUCUUAGUUGUGAUUUCUCGGGAUGAAUGGACUAUUUUUACUAACUCAUCCUUAAUCAAAUAACUACAUUAAAAAAAAGCAACUCCUCGAAGAUUUCUUAAUUAUGUAAAAUUCCAUUUAUUUAAAUAAGAGUAAAUCGAAAGAAAAAAAUUAAUGUCUCUAUAAUUAUAUGAAACACAACUUAUUUAAAACACAAUAAAAAAAAUUAAAGUUCACUUAUUUUGAAAUAGGAUGGGGAAAGUAUUAUUUACUACUCAUAAUUAAAAUUUCAAAAAUCAAACUUUUAAAUUUUAAUGGUGAACUCAAAUGUGAGAAGCAUAAAGUGUGUGUUUUUUUUUAUUUUAUAUAUUUGAAAUAUAUAUAUAUAAAAUUUCUAGAAAUCACAAUAAUUAACAUUUUAUAAAGAAAUUCACCUCAAAAGAAAAUUUGAUGCCCUCGAAAAUUCAACUGUACCAUGUAAAUUGAGUUGUUAUUAAUAAAACAAGUGCAAUAUUUUUCGAAGACAGUGAAAAAUUGUAAAAGAAUUUGAUUGUAUUCUAAUUCAGUGAACAUAAAUUUACAAGCAAGAGGAAAAAAUGAAUGAAAGAGAAAAUCAGUAAUAUAUUAAGGCUGCUUCUUCUUCAUAAGGAAUUGUUCAAUCGAGAAGUGACAUGAAAAAAUGCGUCUUCAUUGCAGGGUAUCGUGAGACCACCCAUUGAAUGUUGAAAUCCAAAUUCUUCCUCUGAUUUCUGAAGCAAUUCCUGGAAUGAAGUGUGAUUCAGGUAUGCAAUUGGAACUACGUAUCUCUUCUUCUCUGUUUCUCCUACGUAAACUGCAAAGUGUCCUUUUGGUACAUCUGAUAUUUGGUUCCUAGUUAAAACAGAGUGCAGUUUGUGGAAUUGCUUCACACCGGAAAUAAUUGAUGGUAAACGAAUAAUACCCAUCACUAGAUCUUGUUAUUAGUGGUAGAUAUGAAUUCAGAAGAAUAAUGCAGUUAAGGUGUUUGAUGAUUUGACUGACUGGGAAUGGCGAUAUUUAUAGUAGCUGCUGGAAAAUUAUAUAUGUUGCGUUCCACCGCAGCUCAGCUGUCCUUGUGUACAAUUGGGGUCCAACUUCACAUUAUCAACAAAUAAAAUACUCCUACCCAAUUCCCAGCAAAUAAUUAAUCAGCCCAUUAUUGUAUUCCUUCCAAAAUCUGAUAAAUUGUGAAUUUAAGUUCCUACUCCACAAGACUUUGACCUGACACUUAGUUCUCAUGUUCAAAACUCAAUAAAGAAAAGAUUAGGUAAUUAUUCUUCUGUUCUAACAUAGUUACUUGGUACAUGUUGCUGGUGGAAAAUGACAUAUAUCCCGUGAAAUUAAUUAAGGUGUGCGAAAGCUGGCCCGAACACCACCGUCAUAAAAAAAAAAAAAAAAAAAUUGUUUGGCUCAAAAAGAUAAAAGUAGUGAGAGCUAAUUAAUCAAAUUGAAUCUGCCAUAUAUCCACUUGAUUAUCUCGUCCUGAAUUUUGGUGGGCAUAAGCUGGUCUAUCAAAUUGCAACUCCCAUACUGCCUUGAAGUACCUCACAAGUUAGAACUAUAUAUUAGUAUCUUCUACUUCUGCUAAAAGUUGUGAAGUCAUUACUCAUUAAUGAUCUAAAGAUAACUUUUGGUACAAAUUCCUACGUACGUACCAUGCCUCCUAUUUUCUGCGGAAAUAACUGCAUGCCCACAUAUAUAUGUCUUGGUUUAGAAUUUUCAUAAAUAUGCAUGACAAUUGGCAGCACAACAAAUUGUGUAUUUUUGGUGUUGAAUAUUCAACUUAAUUAUAUAUAUGUUCCCAACUAGUGACUACUGCCUACUUGCAUGAAAAUAGCAUUAUUUUAAUGAGUAGUCAUUUACUAAAGAACUUUAUUUCUACCGUAAGAGAUAUGAAAAUAAUGUCAUUUUUUUCUAUUAAAAUUGUAAGAGUCCAAGAGAUUUCAUUUCCUCCUAUUCCUCUCUUGAUUAUAUGAAAUUAAAGUAGAAAAUUGAGAAUGUUUUGAUUAAGAAAGAGAAGGAUUUUAUCUUAAUUAACUACUACUAAUAAUUAUAUCGCUGAUACAUAUUCAGAUGAUAAAAGAUCAAAUGAUUGGAACUAUAUUUUCGAUAAAGAUCAGAUUCAGUAGGUUUGCUUAAUCUAGUUAAUAUUGUUACGAGUUCAAUUUUCCUGUCACUGCUGACGCUGUUCAAUAAUUAGAUUUCCUUAUUAUUAAUUCUGCUAAAAAAGAAGAAGGAAUAAUUAAAGAAAAUUCUUUUGACAUCUAUUAUUCCAAGUCUGUGAUCCAGAUCCAGAUAAUUAAAAAAUUGAAAUUCCAUGUAAACAUAAUCAAUGAGCUUGACUUACUAAACUCAUAAUAAAUUAAAGGUCUAACCUAUCGGUGACCCCCUAAAGUUGGCAGCAAUUUUCACUUACACACUUUAACUGCAUGCCCACCUAUAUGUGUCUUGCUCUUGAUUUUUCAAUAAUUAUGUUCAGCACAACAAAUUUUUGCUUUUGCUUUUUCCUGUUGAAUUUUCAACUUAAUUACAUAUAUAUGUUCCCAAACUAGUGGCUAGCUACUUGCAUGAAAAUAAACGAGUGCUAGUUUUACCAACUCUGCCAUUUAAUUUGAUGAUCAGCAUGCAUUUGAAACUUGUGAAUUGUAUGAUAAUCUUCUUAUUUAAAAAGUUUAAGUUGUUACGAAGAUCAUAUGUUUGUUUACCUUAUAACAGUUCCUUCUUGUGUGGGUCAGAUUCUUUUUUUUUAUUGAGCCAACCACAUUUUUUUAUAAUGAUGUAACGUCACUCAUGCCUUAAGACAUCUGUCUGAAGUGUGAAAUAAUCUUAUUCGAAAGAUUGAGCUAUUAGAGAUAUUUAAUUCAUUUAAUCAUAUUUAGGUUCCACAUUAUAGUCACUGCUAUACUACAAGCUUUCGUACUCUCUAGAAAGAAUCAUACAUUUAUUACUAAACUACUUUCGUAGAACUAGGACAGGAAGUUCUUUUGUUGUUGCUUGAAUCUUAGCUAUUUAAAUAAAAUGAGAUAUUACAACUAUAACAUUAAUCUAAAUUUCAAAACAUUAUAACGGUGACUUACAACUAAUGAAAAUGAAAAGAGAAAAAAAGACGAAAAUAGCACUCCCAAGUGUGAACAAAAGUAUUUCGGUACUAUAAGUUUGAUCUAACAACCCAAUGAUUUAAUUAAGGAACGACUAACAAAUAUCCAUUAUAAAUUGCUUAUAUUGACCAAAAUUAUACUACCUGUACGCAUAAUUUAAUGCUCCGCGUAUAUAUCAUUUUGAAAUUUAUGGAGCGCAUUAAUUAUUCUGUAUUGAGCUACAAGCCUACAACUACGAAGUUGCCGGAUCAAGGAAAUGAAAAAGAAUUUAUUAGUAUUUGACUCUACACCAAUCACCGCUAACGCUGUUCAAUAAUUAGAUUUCCUUAUUAGUAAUUCUGAAAGAAGAAAAGAAGGAUUCAAAGAAAUUUCUUGACAACAGUUAUUAAGCAUAAUCUAUAUCAAUAAUUAUACUUGGAAUAAAUUAAAAGAAUUUCUAUGUGGGUUGUACAAAAGAAUUAGCCAACAUAACCAUCGAUUAUUACUUGUAGCAACAUCCUUCUGUAGUUGUGUUGCUAUUGUUUCAACCAGAUGUAAAAUUAGAAGUAGAAUUGAUUAAAAUAUCAACGUGAUAAUUAUUAUAGGUGGUUGUUUGAAUCCCAAAUUUCAUUGUGCUGCACUAAAAUUGUAACGUUAUCCAUCACUAGAAUUCACAUAGAAGGUUGCUUGGGGAAGAAGAGGAAGACAACUUUGGGAAAAGAGGCAAAAUCCGUGUGAGAAUAGUUUUGCACUGAAUUAUAAAAAGAAUAAUGGUGUAUCAGCUAUUCAGUUUGUAAAUAGUUUCAAUUUUUGGGGUAUAAGUGUUCUUUUCCCCUUUUAAAAAGUAAAUUAAAUCCAACACCUAAUUUCACUAGAAAGAAAAAAUAGAUUUCUUGACAAGUACUUUUUAAGUAUUUUAAUUCCGUACACAUAAUAAAUAGAACUACACUAUCCACUACGAAUACACUAUUACUUCCACUUUUCUUUUUAAUCUUGUCGGUCCAAACAGAAAAUUACAUCUUUCCAUAAUUAAAAAUGAUUUCUAUAGAAAUAUCUAAAGUUUGUGUGUAGUUUUUUUAAGCUAGAGAUAAAUUAAGUAUAUAUGACAGUAAAAUAUGUCUAGUUAGAUAGUUUUUUAAAUUUUAAAAGUCGUUCUCUUUUUUCUUAAAAUUUGUAUCAAUCAAAUACAAUAAAUUCCACAAAAUUGAAUCUGUAUCAAUUAAUUAGUGUUUCGAAUUGAGAUAGAAAGAAUAACUGAUUGUUAAAUUCUACUGAUUUAAAAAAAUUUAGCAGCAUUAUUCUUAAACUGUUUAGUAUGAGCAACUAAAAUAUUUUACGAAGACAAUGAAAAAUUGUAAAAAAUAAAAAUGAUUGUAUUCUUUGCAAUUCUGUCAACAUUAUGAGUCAGUGAAAAGGCAAUUCACAUAAAUUUACCGCUCUUGCAUUGCAAGAUGAAAAAUAAAUAAUGAAAGAAAAACAGUAAGCUCUAAUAUAAUCUGUGACUAAUAUAAUUGCUUCUUCAUAAGGAAUUGUUCAAUCGAGAAGUGACAUGGAAAAAUGCAUCCUCAUUGCAGGGUAUUGUGAGACCGCCCAUUGAAUGUUGAAACCCAAAUUCUUCCUCUGAUUUCUGAAGCAAUUCCUGGAACGAAGUGUGAUUCAGGUAUGCAAUUGGAACUACGUAUCGUUUCUUCUCUGUUUCUCCAACGUAAACUGCUAAAUGUCCUUUUGGUACAUCUGAUAUUUGAUUCCGAGUUAAAACAGAGUGUAGUUUGUGAAAUUGCU
rnacentral:lncRNA from 1 species